AAAGAAUGGUAAUGAUUUCUGGAGAGGAACAACAGUAAAUACACGCAUUGUAUUUUUCCCAUAUCUGAAGCAUAAGCCAUAGCAAUAUGAUUUAAACUUGCUGUCACCAGAAUGCUUUUUUUUCCUUCUGUAGUAUAUUCUUGUGCUGAGUCUUCACAUCUUAUCCCAGGUUUAAUACAUCUUAGGGAGCAUUAGUAUAACAAAUUUAGAGUGCUUCAAACCUCUAAGGCUUAUUAUUUUAUUACUAGGAUCUUGUAACUUAAGCAUCAUACUGAAGAAAGUUUGUCAACAUUGCCUGAUUAUUUUUAGGGGAAAAAGGGAAAAGGUUCCUGAUUACUAGGAGCUAGGGAGGGGUCACACCUGAGAAAGGAACUCUCAAAUCAGGUGCUUGGUCUAUAUAAGCAUCUCUCACACAUGCAGUUAGUUUGAUAUGAUGAAAACACUCCUUGUAUCCUCAGCAGAGAGGGGCUUCCUAAUAUAGAGCCAUUUCAAGAGAGCUAAAACUAAGACUUCUAAAGAAAUGGCAUUGAAGCUGUUGUUUAUUGAUGAGUCCCAGCUCUCCCCUCCCUCUACAGGAGACAUUCUCCAAGUAAUUUUGGACUAAUGUUUAGCAUUCCUGUCAAGAACUAUGGUUUCAUCCUUAACCUUAGAAAAGCAGAACUUGAGAAGAAUUGGCAGGCACCAGCUCUGGUACAACAUUCUGAGACUACACUUGGAGCAGUAUAUCCUCAUGAACCAUCAAUGGGAAGGGGAUGAAAAGCAAUAACCAUGGACAAAGCCUUGAGGAAAAAAAGAUGCCCACUGCAAUACAUUCUCUUAAUCUUCUAUAUUAGAAGAAGUUCAGAACGGCCAAACAAAGCCAGAAACAAUUCAUAGUCUCCGUAAGUGAUUUUCUAAGAAAUCACAGAAAUAUAUUGCAUAAUAAGUGUAAUAAAACUGUUGGCAUUUUGCA
rnacentral:lncRNA from 1 species